rnacentral:rRNA from 1 species
UACGGGGGGGGCAAGCGUUGUUCGGAAUUACUGGGCGUAAAGGGUUCGUAGGUGGCCAACUAAGUCAGACGUGAAAUCCCUCAGCUUAACUGGGGAACGGCAUCCGAUACUGGAGGGCUUGAAUCCGGGAGAGGGAUGCGGAAUUCCAGGUGUAGCGGUGAAAUGCGUAGAUAUCUGGAGGAACACCGGUGGCGAAGGCGGCAUCCUGGACCGGUAUUGACGCUGAGGCGCGAAAGCCAGGGGAGCAAACGGG